UACGGAGGGGGCUAGCGUCAUUCGGAAUUACUGGGCGUAAAGCGCACGUAGGCGGAUCAGAAGGUCAGGGGUGAAAUCCCAGGGCUCAACCUUGGAACUGCCUUUGAAACUCCUGGUCUUGAGGUCGAGAGAGGUGAGUGGAAUUCCGAGUGUAGAGGUGAAAUUCGUAGAUAUUUGGAGGAACACCAGUGGCGAAGGCGGCUCACUGGCUCGAUACUGACGCUGAGGUGCGAAAGCGUGGGGAGCAAACAGG
rnacentral:rRNA from 1 species